UACGGGGGGGGCAAGCGUUGUUCGGAAUUACUGGGCGUAAAGGGCUCGUAGGUGGCCAACUAAGUCAGACGUGAAAUCCCUCGGCUUAACCGGGGAACUGCGUCUGAUACUGGAUGGCUUGAGUUUGGGAGAGGGACGCGGAAUUCCAGGUGUAGCGGUGAAAUGCGUAGAUAUCUGGAGGAACACCGGUGGCGAAGGCGGCGCCCUGGACCAACACUGACACUGAUGAGCGAAAGCCAGGGGAGCAAACGGG
rnacentral:rRNA from 1 species